AGAGUUUGAUCAUGGCUCAGGACGAACGCUGGCGGCGUGCUUAACACAUGCAAGUCGAACGGAAGGGUCUCUUCGGAGAUGCUCGAGUGGCGAACGGGUGAGUAACACGUGGGUGAUCUGCCCUGCACUUCGGGAUAAGCUUGGGAAACUGGGUCUAAUACCGGAUAGGACCACAUGCUGCAUGGUGUGUGGUGGAAAGUUUGUAAUGGUGUGGGAUGGGCCCGCGGCCUAUCAGCUUGUUGGUGGGGUGAUGGCCUACCAAGGCGACGACGGGUAGCCGGCCUGAGAGGGUGUCCGGCCACACUGGGACUGAGAUACGGCCCAGACUCCUACGGGAGGCAGCAGUGGGGAAUAUUGCACAAUGGGCGCAAGCCUGAUGCAGCGACGCCGCGUGGGGGAUGACGGCCUUCGGGUUGUAAACCUCUUUCACCAUCGACGAAGGCCUGCUUUUGGGUGGGUUGACGGUAGGUGGAGAAGAAGCACCGGCCAACUACGUGCCAGCAGCCGCGGUAAUACGUAGGGUGCGAGCGUUGUCCGGAAUUACUGGGCGUAAAGAGCUCGUAGGUGGUUUGUCGCGUUGUUCGUGAAAUUCCCUGGCUUAACUGGGGGCGUGCGGGCGAUACGGGCAGACUGGAGUACUGCAGGGGAGACUGGAAUUCCUGGUGUAGCGGUGGAAUGCGCAGAUAUCAGGAGGAACACCGGUGGCGAAGGCGGGUCUCUGGGCAGUAACUGACGCUGAGGAGCGAAAGCGUGGGGAGCGAACAGGAUUAGAUACCCCAGUAGUCC
rnacentral:rRNA from 1 species